rnacentral:rRNA from 1 species
UACGUAGGGUGCAAGCGUUAUCCGGAAUUAUUGGGCGUAAAGAGCUCGUAGGCGGUUUGUCGCGUCUGCUGUGAAAAACUGGGGGCUCAACCCCCCAGCCUGCAGUGGGUACGGGCAGACUAGAGUGCGGUAGGGGAGAUUGGAAUUCCUGGUGUAGCGGUGGAAUGCGCAGAUAUCAGGAGGAACACCGAUGGCGAAGGCAGAUCUCUGGGCCGUAACUGACGCUGAGGAGCGAAAGCAUGGGGAGCGAACAGG